GGCGUCCACAAUUUUGGCGCACAGUUCUGCCAUCGCCGAUCCACCCGCUUCCUCCUCCCCGCGCCCGCGCAAGGGAAGUUGCUUCCCAAAUCCUGCAGACAAGAUUUAAUCCCGUGAUUCUUCUCAUCCAUGGCAGCCGCGCCCGCAAAUCACGCAUCCAUGGCAGCCGCGCCCGUAAACCGCGCCUCCCCCACGACUCCCCCUUCCAUGGCGUCACCCCCUUCCAUCCAUGGCAGUCACGCUCCCUCUGCAUCCUUCCAUCCAUGGCCGUGGCCCCCUCCGCGCCGCGAUUCUUCCCAUCCUCUCCCUCCGCGCGGUUUGCGGCUGCCAAUCCUCUCCCUCCGCGUCGUGUUCUUCCCAUCCUCUCCCUCCGCGUCGGAUCUCUCCCCAUGUCCACCAACGCCGGCGUCCGUGAUGGCGCGCCCGGGGCGGCGGUGGACGCGGCUUUCGCCAGGCAUGCGCUCCAGGCCGAGGCCCUCCUCGGGUACCUCCCCGCACUGGCCACCAGCCCGCGUGCCGGGGGCAACAGGGUAAACCCCGCCGUCGCCGCGACGCAGCUCGGGGCGCUCGGCCGGUGGAAGGGCUCGGCGAGGGGCCUUCUCGAGUACAUGGUCGUCCACGACAUCGGUGGUGCCAUCGUCGCCGCCCCUGGGAGAGCCAAAGCCAAGCGGAGGAGGCCGCAGUCGACCGGAUUUGGGAAUCAUGCUCCUGCCAAACGGGAUGAACGGAAGGAAGCGAGAUCUUUCUGGGUUGAUUUGGCUUGAAGGAAGCGGGAUCUUUCUGGACAAUGGCUGUCUAGCUUCAUCCAUUCUGGGAACAAAGAAAAAACAAGAAACAUCUGGUGUCUGAGUCCAGUAGAAAGUUGUGCAAAGAGAAGAGCAAAAUAUCUACACCAGACGUCUCUUUUAGGUACAGAGGGACGGAGUCUUGUAAGAAGGUAGUUGCAAGCUUGAAGUCGUGUGAGCCAUGGGGGAACAGGGCAUUCUGGACAAACGCCGUUGGGCCAGGUUGGAAGUUGAGCUUUGCUGUUGAGCCAUGGACUAAGGGCUUUAGCAUGUCGUGUGCGGCGCCAUAUUCUGCUGGAGCCACAGAGCAUCAAUUAUCGCUCGAUGAGAAGGUGGAUAACUCCACCGUUGCAUCUGAUUCUGAUGGGCUAAUAACAACAUUAUUCAUUUCCAUCCCACAAGAAGGAAUAUCAAAUGGUCUUCUUCGAAGGUCUGUCAUCUUCUUUAGAGGGUUCAAAACCACCGUGCAUUCUGUCUUUAAGGAGUACAAUAGGAAUGGAAGAUACUCAAGGGUACCAAGAAGGAGAUGGCCAUGACUUAGUGCUGUAGAAACAAUAAUGGAUCAAAACACAAGACAUGCUCAAGAGUAAACUUAUUCCUGAAGAUGAAUUUGAUUGGAGUUUACCUUUGGUGGGCUCAGGUUCAGAUGAACAAGAAAGGUAAAGUUAUCUAUCAGCUAGACUCAUGGCGGGAAAGGUUUUUUCUAUUGUCGGUAUCCAGCACCUAAGUAGGCCUAGGAUUUUUUCUUCUGUCUUUAAUUUUUUCGUGAACGCGCAGGAGAGUUGCGCAUCAUUAAAUUAAGAGAAGAAACAGUCCAAAAUGGACCAAAGUACAAUGCCACAAAAGGCCAAACACAAGACCACCAAAUCCUGACCAAACACAAGACCAC
rnacentral:misc_RNA from 1 species